rnacentral:rRNA from 1 species
CUACCCUUGAGUGGGGAAUAACCUAGAGAAAUCUGGGCUAAUACCGCAUAACACCUACGGGUCAAAGGAGCAAUUCGCUUAAGGAGGGGGUCGCGGCAGAUUAGCUAGUUGGCGGGGUAAUGGCCCACCAAGGCGGUGAUCUGUAUCCGGCCUGAGAGGGCGCACGGACACACUGGAACUGAAACACGGUCCAGACUCCUACGGGAGGCAGCAGUGGGGAAUUUUGCGCAAUGGGGGAAACCCUGACGCAGCAACGCCGCGUGGAGGAUGAAGUCCCUUGGGACGUAAACUCCUUUCGAUCGGGACGAUUAUGACGGUACCGAGAGAAGAAGCCCCGGCUAACUUCGUGCCAGCAGCCGCGGUAAUACGAGGGGGGCGAGCGUUGUUCGGAAUUAUUGGGCGUAAAGGGUGCGUAGGCGGUUCGGUAAGUCUUAUGUGAAAUCUUCGGGCUCAACUCGAAGUCUGCAUGAGAAACUGCCGGGCUUGAGUGUGGGAGAGGUGAGUGGAAUUUCCGGUGUAGCGGUGAAAUGCGUAGAUAUCGGAAGGAACACCUGUGGCGAAAGCGGCUCACUGGACCACAACUGACGCUG